rnacentral:rRNA from 1 species
GUCGAGCGAACAGAUGAGGAGCUUGCUCCUCUGACGUUAGCGGCGGACGGGUGAGUAACACGUGGAUAACCUACCUAUAAGACUGGGAUAACUUCGGGAAACCGGAGCUAAUACCGGAUAAUAUAUUGAACCGCAUGGUUCAAUAGUGAAAGACGGUUUUGCUGUCACUUAUAGAUGGAUCCGCGCCGCAUUAGCUAGUUGGUAAGGUAACGGCUUACCAAGGCAACGAUGCGUAGCCGACCUGAGAGGGUGAUCGGCCACACUGGAACUGAGACACGGUCCAGACUCCUACGGGAGGCAGCAGUAGGGAAUCUUCCGCAAUGGGCGAAAGCCUGACGGAGCAACGCCGCGUGAGUGAUGAAGGUCUUCGGAUCGUAAAACUCUGUUAUUAGGGAAGAACAAAUGUGUAAGUAACUAUGCACGUCUUGACGGUACCUAAUCAGAAAGCCACGGCUAACUACGUGCCAGCAGCCGCGGUAAUACGUAGGUGGCAAGCGUUAUCCGGAAUUAUUGGGCGUAAAGCGCGCGUAGGCGGUUUUUUAAGUCUGAUGUGAAAGCCCACGGCUCAACCGUGGAGGGUCAUUGGAAACUGGAAAACUUGAGUGCAGAAGAGGAAAGUGGAAUUCCAUGUGUAGCGGUGAAAUGCGCAGAGAUAUGGAGGAACACCAGUGGCGAA